rnacentral:lncRNA from 1 species
UUCAUGUUUCUCAGUUAAAAAUUAAAAAUUCCCUGUGAUUUCUACAAUGAAACAUCUACGUAGAAUUAUUGUAUCAUUUUAUUAUGUGAUGUUUGGUGAUCAUGAAAGAAGAAGAAAAAGAAAGAAGAAGUAAUUUAAUACAAGUACGGGUAGGCAUAUAACCUAGGGAAAAAAUAACCCAGACCGCAACAACCAGGAGCAAACCCGAAU